AGAAGCAGAAAGAUGGAUACAACUCUAAUUUUCUCUUGUUUUUACUUUAAUACAGUUCCUGGUGAGAGGCUUUAAUAAUCAUUUUGAAAAAGCAUGUCCCUAAAUUAUGCUACGUCAAAAUUAUAAAUAGUAUCAAAGGAGGAAAUAGCUGUCAAAUUUUUGUUUCCAGUCAAAUGCCAAUGAAGCUUGGUCAGUUUUGGGAUAACUCUCUACUGGAAUGCAGAAACAACCCAAACAGGUAAUGUUCUGGAUGUAGCUUGCUUCAGGCAUAUGUAUUGGCUGUUUGGCAUCCAUUGCUAAGGAAGAACAAGUUGGUAUUGAUGCUGAAAGGCAAUGUCCUACUCUCACCUUGCCAUGGGCAAAUUAUUCCUCAUCCUCUGCAUACCGGUUUCUUAUGCCAUACAAAGAACAAGAGCGAGGAAAUGGCUUGGUUUGAAAAACUAACCCAGAAAAGAAACAAAACAAAAACAACUAAUAAUCUUAUCCUGGAGCACCUUAUCCAUCUGAUGGAGUGGAAGCACAGAACAGCAUCAGCCACAGGCUCAGUGGCAGUGCCGGCAUCUGCUUAUCCAAAGUGAGUGUACAUCACUUGCCCUAGAGGCAGCAGAAUGCACAUCUCCCUUUCUAUUUCCUUUCCUUGGAGUCACAUCUAAAUUUUCUAAAUGAGAACUGCGUAAUUCAAAGCACGUUACUUUCUGACUCUGCAAUCCAGAAAAUGAUCAAGAAAUGUGAACUGUGUUGAGUCACUGUAGUGAUCCACUGCUUGAAACCCAACAGCACUAUUACUACUAAUAGCACACAUUAACUGUUUCAGAACUAAUCUGCAAAUUUCUAUCAAUUGUGUGCUAGUCAGAUAAAUGAAUAUAUAUGCACGUACAAUGUUCUUCUUGAUAACUUUUGAUAUUUUUCUUGAUUAAAAAGCAUAAUAACACAAUACGUAGCCUGAGAACUACAGAAAAUUAGAUAAUUCUACCAGCAAAUUUUGAGUUAGGGUGAAGAUGAAGCAAUAGGGAAAUCGGAAGAUAUAGAUCCCUGUUAUUCUGUAAGUUUCUCUGUAGAAAAGAAAUAAUAAUUUCCUUGAAAACUAUGAUAUUCCUCUCCAUUUAAGUUCUCUCUCACCCUAUAACAAUUUCUUAAUACUACAUCUGUUAUUUACCAGUGCCUUUUCUGAACUGACAGCCUCAUUCUUCCAGACACAGUGUUCCUCCUGCAGCUUGUUUGCCUCAUGGUGAUGCAUCCCCCCAGGCCCUCUGUGAGCUCCCAUUCUCAGAU
ensembl:lncRNA